ensembl:lncRNA
UGGCCAGGUACAUCCUGUCUUUACAAAAUUAAAAGGUGAUAAACAUAGGCACACAGUUUCAAAAACAACAAUCUCUUUCAAAAUGCACUUACAGAAAUGGGGUGAUCUUUUUUAUAAAAUUUUAUUUAAAUUAAAAACAAUCUUAUUUUACAUACUAAUUCCAGUUCCCUCUCCCUUCUGACCUCUCAUUUCCCCCACCAAGGCCCCUUCCCACCCCCAAUCCACUCCUCAGGGAGGGUGAGGCCUCCCAUGAGAGAUAUCAAAGUCUAUCACAUCAUUUGGGGCAGGGCCUAGGCCCUCCCCUGUGUAUCUAGGUUGAGCUAGUAUCCCUCCAUGAGAAAUGGGCUCCAAAGCCCAUUUUUGCACUAGGAAUAAAUACUGAUUCCACUGCCAGAGGCCCCAUAGACUUCCCAAGUCCCCAACUGACACCCACAUUCAGGGGGCCUGGUUUGGUCCUCUGCUGGUUCCCCAGCUGUCAGGCUGGGGUGGUGAUCGUCCCCUUGCUCAGGUCAGCUGUCUCUGUGUUUCCCCAGCCUGGUCUUGAACCCUUUGGUGAUCUGCUUCUGUUUCUGUCAGCACUGAAUCAGAACAGCUCCUGGGGUCUGAAGGGUCAACUGGCAUCCUCAGACAAGAAACCUGAGAAGCAUCAGCUCCCACAGAGUUUUAGGGGGAGAAAGAAAUGGGGUUUCCAGGACAGAUCACAUCUGUCCCAUGAAUGGUUGACAAAAUGACACUAAAACUGACAAGAAAAACAUUCAUAUCACAAGAGAGAAGAGAGUGUGCAGGCCAGCGAAACGACUCAGAGUGAAAAAGCUUGCCAAGGAAGCAUGCCUGCUGACCAGAGUUCAGGCCCCAGAACCCACACAAAGGUGCAAGGAGAGCACCAGCCCCACAGAGUUGUCCUCUGCCAGCCACAGGUGUGCCGUGACAUGCUUGCCCCCCAUAAUAUUUAAAAAUUUAUCUAUAAUGCAAUUUUUUAUUGCUUUUACCCCAAUUGUCACAAGUAAAUGAUCUCUUCUUGUAAGAUACCAGGAACGUGUAGACUCCUAUAAUCUCUGCUUUUUUUUCCUUCAAGUUUCUUUUAUUUUAUGUACAUGAGUAUUUUGCCUGCAUGGAUGUCUGUGUACCACGUCUGUGCCUGGUUCCCAUGGAGGUCAGAAGAGGGUGUCAGAUACCCUGGAGCUGGAGUUACAGAUGGCCGUGAUGCCAUAUGGGUGCUGGGAAUUGAACCUGAAAGGGCAGCCCGUGUUCUUAAGUGACGAACCAUCUCUCCAGUAUCAGGGUCUGUGACAGCAUGUUAGUUCCUGGCAAAAUAGACCUUCCUGGAGGAGGAAAAUCAAGCAAGGCAAAGUUAUUUGUGACUUCUUAGGCAUGUUGCAAGCCACCUUGGUGAGAAAGUGGGAUAGAGGGUGAUGGAAGGCCAGCCUACUUGCCCAAGGAAGACUUUGAAAUGUAAGAUCACUUCCACUUUGAGGUCAGAGCGUGACCACAGACCAAGCCGACAACAGCGUUUUAAUGAAACCACACAGACCAGCCAUCUGGGGUUGCUUUGGCCCAAAGUGCUUACAUCAGAUAACAGUUUUCUGAGACACAAAAUGUGACCAGAACCUACCCAAGAUGACUGUUCAAUUGAUAGACACAGCAAGGAUUAAUGAAAGCCACUUAGGCUAAUAAGUAACAGGCAUUGGGGGCACGAUUUAUCUUUCUUCCUGGUAGUUCAAAUGGACUUUGGAGUUGUUCAGUGCACAAAAGGGAUAUGUUUCCUUACAUAUUUUAAAUCUAUUUUUUAUGUAUUUAUUUAGGAACAGGGUCUUACUGCAAGAAUUCAAGCAUUAUGGUGGCCUGCCCCUGUCACCUGGCAGAAUGUACUCAGGCAGUACCCUGGUCAGCCAAGGUGCAAAGGACCCCUAUAAAAGAAAGACAACCCCCCCUCACACACACUUAUGCUCUCUUUUCUUGCUCUUUUUCCUGCUGUUUUCCUGGGACAGGACUUUGCCUGUUUCCCUCAUCUCUUCUGUCCUCUCUCUCUCUCUCUCUCUCUCUCUCUCUCUCUCUCUCUCUCUCUCUCUCUCUUCUCUCUGUGUGUGUGUGUGUGUGUGUGUGUGUGUGUCUUUCCUCCCUCCCCCUUCCCUGUCUAAUAAAACUUCUCACUUAAGCUCUGUCUGCCUGGCGUGUUUGUCCCUCUGCCUUGAUCACCCUUACCUGCCAUGGAAUCCAAGGUCCCCCAUGCACAUAAAAUCAUAACACUUACUCAGUAGCCCAGGCUAAGUCACCUUGCUAUCCUCUUGCCAUAGUCUUCCAAGGGCUGGGACUAUGCAUGUCACCAUGCCUGGCUCUCCUGUAUUUUAAUUAUAAGUGAUCCUCUGAGUAGAAUAUAAUACAUCCUUGAAUUAAUUUGUUUUUAUUUCCUGUAGUGACUGAAGAGAUUACAGCCCACUGACAUGCCUCUCUUGAAGAGUUCUAGUGCUGUGAAGAGACACCAUGACCAAUGCAACUCUUAUGAAAGAAAGCCUUUAACUAGGGGCUUGCCUGCAGCUUCAGAAGCAUGUAGACAGGCAUGGCACUGGAGCAGCAGCCGAGUGCUUCAUCGCGUUCCACAAGAAGUCACAGGUCCUGUCCAGGGGGAGCGGAGCACACAGGACUUAACACAAAUGCUGUUCAGGUUGAACCUCUGUCUCCAGACCCCACCUUCAGGAAACCCACCAAGCAGCGGCUCCUCCCCCUGAGAUGCUCAGGACCACGAAUAUAGGUUAAGACCUGGCUCCUAGACCUGCCAUGUGAUUUCUCUGCUGCCUCCGCUGUGAGUCACUGGGGAGUUGCUUUUCUCUGUUUAUUAAACCUGGUUUUAUUAAUUUUGCUGGAUUUGGCUUAUUGCAUCGGCAGAGAAACCCACAACUGGGAUUUUCAGAAAUACUUACCAAAUGUCACCUGAGGUCACAAAGAGUAAGGUACACUGGAACAAAGACCCUGGAGUUUUUCCUAUAAUCACUGUGGAUGCAUUGAAGACCAGCAUGGCACUGGACUGAUACCAAAAUGGAGGAAGGGUGUGAACUGGGAGAAAAUGCAGAUGGGUGUAGAGAAAGGCUGUAGAUGAAGAGCACCUGGCUAAGAGCCACCUGGUUGGUGGCUAGGAAGGAGGGCCAAGGAGCCUGGAGAGGUGGCAUCACACUCACCACAGACGGAAUGGUCCAGAUUUGAGAGCCAAGUCACCAUACGGGAGGGAAGAAAACAGUGGUGUCCCAGAGCUUUGUAACACCAGGGGCGCCACCAACAAAGAGCAGAAAAGCAUUCUGGAGAGAAGUUCCUGCACACUUCGCUCUUAAGGCUCUGGAGACACUAAAGGAGAGCACAGAUAAUGUGUAUUUGAAGGUAGGAGGUGGAUUCAAGGACACAGAGGUUGAUUUGUAAGACGAUAUUCACCUGGUUCUGUGACUCCAAGGACAUAGCCAGUGGCUGGGUUAUUCCAGGAGACAAUUCAUUGGAAUUUCAUCUUGGGAGUUAGGUACUUGAAGGGCAACAGUUAUGGGAC